GUAAAUCUAGCUCAACAGGUAGAGCACUGAUCUGUGGAUUCAGUUGAUUUGGUUCGAGUCCAAAGUUUUACC
rnacentral:tRNA from 1 species